CAGUCGCCACGGUAAUACGAAGGGGGCGAGCGUUGCUCGGAAUGACUGGGCGUAAAGGGCGCGUAGGUGGUACGGACAGUCAGAUGUGAAAUUCCCGGGCUCAACCUGGGGGCUGCAUUUGAUACGUCCGAACUAGAGUGUGGAAGAGGGUCGUGGAAUUCCCAGUGUAGAGGUGAAAUUCGUAGAUAUUCGCAAGAACACCAGUGGCGAAGGCGGCUUACUGGCUCGAUACUGACGCUGAGGCGCGAAAGCGUGGGGAGCGAACAGGAUUAGAGACCCCCGUAGUCCCUGUCUCUUAUAC
rnacentral:rRNA from 1 species